rnacentral:lncRNA from 1 species
GCUCUUGGGUGGCCGCGGCGCCCGCUCCCUCUGAAUUCGCCGGGCAGGGAUACAGCCGCCCGGGGCCUCUUGCUCGUGCUUGGUUUUCCGGACCUUGCUUCCUAAAGGGUCUUUAGGGGUUCCCGGACUCCUCCGCCUGGGAGCCUCUAUCCGCCUGGGAGCCUCUAUGCGCCCCGCAAAGCCCCCGGCAGAGCCGAGGGGAGGCUUCAUUGGCGACCUGGUGGGGCCUCGCGGCCCUGCUCCCUGACGUCAGCGCCGCCGCGGUGAUUUAACAGCUUUUGUUUUGGGCAGAAGAACCUAUGGGCACAAAAAGCAGGAACGAGUAGCGGUGGCUGAAGAACGAGCAGGAGCUUGAAUUUCAGUUUUCUUAUGAGGAAUUUUCCAGAAAAGAUAUCUUCACUGUGAAAUAACUAAAUAAAUGCCCACUCAGUACAGUCACUGUCUCCCUUUUGGAACUUGAUGGCACCUUAAGCCCAGGUUUGCCUCCACUCUAGAAACUCAUCAGAGUGAUGCCCUUCUCAAAUGGGGGAGGUCCCAAAGCGGAUAUCCUGGCAGUGUGAAAGGCCGGCUAAAGGUUUGUGCCAAGAGGAUCUGUGGAAUGCAUCUCCUACAGCUGGUGCUGCUGAGUAACCACUCUGAUCUGGCAUCUUCUUUGAUCAAGUUACAGAGCAGAGUUUCCAGGGCUGGGGAUUGAAGUCCUGCCUCCUCCCUUUGUCUCUGGUUGUCCUCGGUAAUGUUUUUCCCUCAAGACAAAAAUACCUGCUACAUGCUUCCUUCUGUAUGAAUACAUGAGACCUACCUUCAUUCAUGUUUCCUCUAUGAAGCUUUCCCUGCACUCCAAACACAGAGCUGAGACUUCCACCUAAUGUAGAAAGCUAGCACGAGCCGGCGCUGACAGAUGGAAGACUUGAGAUGUUACAAGAUUAUAUAUGGAAACACAAAAGGAGAUACCGGAGCCAUGACAGACUGUGAUGGGGCUGGUGGACAGUUCAGCAAGACAUUGAUAUUGUCCAUUGGCGCUCAGUUCAUCUGUAAUGACACAUUCAAGGAUGACGAUUAAUGUCCAAUAUGUAUAAAGUGGAUCCCUUUGUAAAAACAAUACAAUUCUUAUUAUUGUC